AAAUGCGAUAAGUAAUGUGAAUUGCAGAAUUCAGUGAAUCAUCGAAUCUUUGAACGCACCUUGCGCUCCUUGGUAUUCCGAGGAGCAUGCCUGUUUGAGUGUCAUGGAAUUCUCAACUCUAUUUGCUUUUUUGAAUAGAGCUUGGAUUUGGAGGUUUAUUGCUGGUACUUGUGAUCGGCUCCUCUUGAAUGCAUUAGCUCGAACCUUUGCGGAUCAGCUAUCGGUGUGAUAAUUGUCUACGCCGUUGCAGUGAAGCAUAUCAAUGGGCUCGGCUUCCAAUCGUCCUUUACUGGACAAUGACUUUGACCUUUGACCUCAAAUCAGGUAGGAUUACCCGCUGAACUUAAGC
rnacentral:misc_RNA from 1 species